AGGGUUUGAUUAUGGCUCAGAUUGAACGCUGGCGGCAGGCCUAACACAUGCAAGUCGAGCGGUAGAGAGGUGCUUGCACCUCUUGAGAGCGGCGGACGGGUGAGUAAUGCCUAGGAAUCUGCCUGGUAGUGGGGGAUAACGCUCGGAAACGGACGCUAAUACCGCAUACGUCCUACGGGAGAAAGCAGGGGACCUUCGGGCCUUGCGCUAUCAGAUGAGCCUAGGUCGGAUUAGCUAGUUGGUGGGGUAAUGGCUCACCAAGGCGACGAUCCGUAACUGGUCUGAGAGGAUGAUCAGUCACACUGGAACUGAGACACGGUCCAGACUCCUACGGGAGGCAGCAGUGGGGAAUAUUGGACAAUGGGCGAAAGCCUGAUCCAGCCAUGCCGCGUGUGUGAAGAAGGUCUUCGGAUUGUAAAGCACUUUAAGUUGGGAGGAAGGGCAUUAACCUAAUACGUUAGUGUUUUGACGUUACCGACAGAAUAAGCACCGGCUAACUCUGUGCCAGCAGCCGCGGUAAUACAGAGGGUGCAAGCGUUAAUCGGAAUUACUGGGCGUAAAGCGCGCGUAGGUGGUUCGUUAAGUUGGAUGUGAAAUCCCCGGGCUCAACCUGGGAACUGCAUUCAAAACUGUCGAGCUAGAGUAUGGUAGAGGGUGGUGGAAUUUCCUGUGUAGCGGUGAAAUGCGUAGAUAUAGGAAGGAACACCAGUGGCGAAGGCGACCACCUGGACUGAUACUGACACUGAGGUGCGAAAGCGUGGGGAGCAAACAGGAUUAGAUACCCUGGUAGUCCACGCCGUAAACGAUGUCAACUAGCCGUUGGGAGCCUUGAGCUCUUAGUGGCGCAGCUAACGCAUUAAGUUGACCGCCUGGGGAGUACGGCCGCAAGGUUAAAACUCAAAUGAAUUGACGGGGGCCCGCACAAGCGGUGGAGCAUGUGGUUUAAUU
rnacentral:rRNA from 1 species